AACGGGUGAGUAACACGUGGGCAACCUGCCCAAAAGAGGGGGAUAACACUUGGGAACAGGUGCUAAUACCGCAUAACCAUAGUUACCGCAUGGUAACUAUGUAAAAGGUGGCUAUGCUACCGCUUUUGGAUGGGCCCGCGGCGCAUUAGCUAGUUGGUGGGGUAAAGGCUUACCAAGGCAAUGAUGCGUAGCCGAACUGAGAGGUUGAUCGGCCACAUUGGGACUGAGACACGGCCCAAACUCCUACGGGAGGCAGCAGUAGGGAAUCUUCCACAAUGGGCGAAAGCCUGAUGGAGCAACGCCGCGUGGGUGAAGAAGGUCUUCGGAUCGUAAAACCCUGUUGUUAGAGAAGAAAGUGCGUGAGAGUAACUGUUCACGUUUCGACGGUAUCUAACCAGAAAGCCACGGCUAACUACGUGCCAGCAGCCGCGGUAAUACGUAGGUGGCAAGCGUUAUCCGGAUUUAUUGGGCGUAAAGGGAACGCAGGCGGUCUCUUAAGUCUGAUGUGAAAGCCUUCGGCUUAACCGGAGUAGUGCAUUGGAAACUGGGAGACUUGAGUGCAGAAGAGGAGAGUGGAACUCCAUGUGUAGCGGUGAAAUGCGUAGAUAUAUGGAAGAACACCAGUGGCGAAAGCGGCUCUCUGGUCUGUAACUGACGCUGAGGUUCGAAAGCGUGGGUAGCAAACAGGAUUAGAUACCCUGGUAGUCCACGCCGUAAACGAUGAAUGCUAAGUGUUGAAGAGUU
rnacentral:rRNA from 1 species